rnacentral:lncRNA from 1 species
CGUGACCCAAAGAACCUAAAUCGACCCAAACAAAUCAGACCCAAUAAGUUGCACCUCAAAAGCCCGAACGCUUAACCCUAGGUCAGGAACCCUAGGGUUUCUGCAUCUUUUAGCGCCGUAAGCUAUGCAGGGCCGUUCCAACUUCUGAAGCAAGAGCCAUCAAUGCCCCUAUCCCCCACGUCACCUCAGCUGGCCCUAAUCAAUGAGUUGUCCAGAAACGUCGGGGUACUCCGAGAGUCACCACUGUCGGUGCACCGUAAUCUCAGGCCUCAUACCUCCGUUAACGCCGAGAUCGUCGGGAUACCUGCAAAAUAAAAAAGGAAAUACAGCAAAUGCGAACAAAUAGAGCAAGAAAGAGAAAACUGAAACAAAAAAAUCUCAGCAGAUCAAGGACAAAGAUACGGUGGAUGUAGUAGACAAAAAAUGGUAAGAAAAUAAGAGAUUUCUUUCUCAGCUUAUGUAAUAAAUCAGUGGCUAUAAAAAGCCCCUUUGUAACCUUUAUAACAUUUUUACAAAGAGACAGAAAUAAAAAAGAGAUAUACAAACAAAAAUCAGUAAACAAACAGACGAACAGAGGUGAUAUUUCAUUUUCUUUCCUUUCGAUAUUUAUGGUUUUUUGGUACAAUACAUAACAAAAUACUUUAAAAAGAAGCAGUAAAAGGUUACCCUUCGAUUCAUCGCGAAGAGGAUAGGGUUUUGAAAGCCCUAACCGCCGGGUUUCAAGACCCAGACAGUGGCGCGUGAGGCAUGUGGGGCCGAAGGCGGUGGUGCUCUGGGAUGAGCUAGGAUGGCCACAGGCCAGAGCUCUAAGAGAAUUUAGUUUUCUUUCUUUUGUUUUUUUUUAUGAGUGUUUAAAAUGAAUUUUUUUAAGUUUUUUUACUUUUAUAACAUUGGUAAAACGACAACGUUUCUGCUUAAUUCAACAAGCAUUAAAACGGUAUCGUUUAAACAACAGGAUCCACGCGUUGACCCGAUUACCCGGGAAGGAUCCGCGUGUUUUUUUGAUAAAUGGGUUAAUUACCCAAUUAGUCCCUCUACCCUUUUUAUGUUUUCAAUUUGUUUUAUUUUAUUUAUGAUUUAUCCCUGAUGUUUUGUUUUAGUUCUAAUUUAGUCCCUACAGUAUCUAUUUUAAAGUCCAAGAUUAAAACGCAGUCGUUUUGGGAAUAGGGCAAUUUUCCCAAUGAGUCCCUUUUGUUUUACGCGCGUUUUAAUUAGGGCCUUAAUUCAGUUUUAUUUCUUUUAAAUUCGCCCUAAAAUUUUGAUGAAUUUUAAUUUUAAUCCUAUAUUUAUUUUAUUAUUAUUAUUAUUCUAUAUAUAUUUUUAUAUAUUGAUAUUUAACCUUACUUUUAUAUUAUAUAAAUUAUUUUAUAUAUGUAUUAUUUAUAUUAUCUAUUAUUUUUCAUAAAUUAUUAUUAUUUUACAUCAUUAUUUUAUAUAUUAUUAUUAUAUCUUUACUUGUUAUAUAUUAAUUAUUUAUACACAUUGUCUUUAUAUAUAAACUUUCAUUAUUUUAUAUUAUAUCUAUUAUAUAUCUUAUUUCCUAUAUAUUUAAAUUAUAUUUUAUAACAUUUAUUAUAUUUUAUUUUAUUAUAUAUUACUUACUAUUAUUUUUAUAUAUGUUAUGUGUAUCAUAUAUUAUCUAUUAUAUUACUCAUUAUAAGAUUUAUAAAUUAAAUUAUAUUUUAAACUCAUAUCAUAUAUAUAUUAAAUUAUUAAUUAUGUUUUAUUUUAUUUUAAAAAGAUGUUUUAUGUUAUGUAUUAUUUUAUAAAUCCUUUUACCUACUUUUAUUUUAUAUAUUUUUUAUAAUUAUUAUUCUCUUAUAAAUGUUUUGUUAUUAUGUUUUAUAUUGUAUAGCAAAUACUAUUUUAAAAUUAUUAUUAUUAAAUAUUAUGUCUUUAUUUGUGUUAUAUGUAUAUUUUGUUUAUAAUAACUCAUUUCAUUUUAUUUUAUUUUGUAUAUACCAUGUAUUAAAUGUUAUUUUAUCUAUUAUUUGAUAUUACAUUUCAUGAACAUGUACAUUGAUAUUAUAUUACUCUUUUUGUAUAUCAUACAUUAUUUAAUUAUUACUUUGUAUGUUUGUAUGUUUAUUCAUUCUUAAUACAUGCUAUAUAUAUAUCUUUGUAUGCAUAUUGGUAAUACCUGCUAUAUAUGUAUUAUUUUUAUAUGUAUGUAUCUAAUGCACAAACUUUAUAUUAUUGCCAUCAUUUUGCUUAAAUGUAUGUAUUAUGUUACUAUGUGUGAUUUAUAAUGCAAUAUAAUUCCUCAUGCAUCAUUUAAAAAAAAAAACGAGACUCUACAGUUUUUAAAAAAAUAUAAAGGCAAUGCUUGGUGUUUGGAAAUUUCAAAAAAGUAGUGCCCUAACUUAUUGGGUUGCAACUUUUCUCGUUGAGUUCGAAUAAUCAAGUACCCUUCUAAGUUUUAAAGACUUUCAAAAUAUAAGCGACUGUCUUGGAACAGCAAAGCGAUAUGUCCUAACUUAUUGGAUGUAGCGUUUUGUCGUUUCGAGAUAGGGAUUUCUAAAAAGGCUAACUUAGUGUCAAUACUUUGAUACGAGUAAACCCAAAUUUUCAAAAAUCAAAAUAUUUUAAAGAGGAUCAUAUCUUAAAAUUUUCAAAAUUUCCGACAUUAAAGACAUUUGAUAAUCAAUUCGGCACCAAUUCUUGGGUGUUACGAGGGUGCUAAUCCUUCCUCGUAUGUAACCGACUCCCGAACCCGUUUUCUGAUUUCGUAGACCAAAACUAAUGAUUUUAAAACAAAAUAUUUUUAAGGUGAUCCAACACACCUAAAAAGAUUGGUGGCGACUCUCAUUUUCGUUUUUUAAAAUCGAUUCCCAUUUUCCAAAACUUGAUUUGAAAAUGGUCUCGACAGCUUGGCAACUCCAUUGGGGACCAAUAAGAGAGUCAAGCGUGUAAUUGAUUAUCUCUUGUCUUAAUGUCGGAAAUUAAAAAUUUUAAAAUUUAAUCCUCUUUGCAUUACAUCUGUUUAUAUUAUUGAAUGUGUUAUAUAUUCUGAAACACAUUGCAUUUGCAUGACCGUUGUGGUCACACCCUUAAGUGGGAGUGAAAAACUACGCCUUCGUGAGGUUUUCGCCUCCGUGCAGGAUAGUGGAUCACUUUUGGGAUACAUCCGUACCUAUGGUUUCGUGAGAUUUUCAUCUCCGUGCAGCCAUAGGGAAAUGUAUUCCCUCGAACUGAACUCAUUUCAAAUGAGCCUAUAAUGGGUGAGAAUCGAGGAAUCUGCUGGUUCGGGUACCUUAAACUUUAGAACUAGCCUCAUAUAGAAAACCGUAAGAACCCAGUUUAGUUAGAUAUUAAACUUUAGAUAUUACCUUAUAAGUUACUAUUGAGAUUUAUUGAUAUCAUGUGGUUCUAACUUUUCUUUUUCUUUUGUUUGCAUGUCAUUUUGCAUUACAAAGGUAUCGAUUCACAGUCAGUUUCUAAGAUAGAGAGUUUUAUUAUGGAGAACGGACUUCUUGAUAGAGUGGAGGGCAACACCAAUGUCCAUAGAUGGUCUGAGCAAACUCAACUAGAAAAGGGAGAUAGUGUAGCUGUUGGAUACGUGUUGGCGCUGCCAGAUUACACUCGCAUCAGUGUCACGCAGAAUAAUCUCCAAGACCUUAAGGAGAUUUGGGAUCAGUGGGACAACGAGACUAAACAUUUAUUCUACGGUAAUUACGGAGACUUACCUUACUUGCUUGAUGUUCAGGUAGACGAGCAUUUGUUCCGAGCCCUUGCACAGUUUUGGAACCCAGCGUACAGUUGUUUCACUUUUGGGGAAGUAGACUUGGUACCUACUGUGGAGGAGUAUACGGCUUUACUUCGUUGCCCUAGGUUUCAGAGUGAUAGGAUCUAUUCUCGAGCUGCUUGUGUCCCUGCCUUUUGGAAGAAAUUAAUGACUAUUACGGGGAUGAGCGAGCAGUGGAUCAUGGCCAGAAUCAAAGAAAAGGGUGAGUACAAAAGCAUUUCAUGGGACGCUUUGAAAGGUCUGAUUUUGUCACACCCUGAUGAGGCGAAGAAGGUAGAUGUUUUUGCUUUAAGUUUGUAUGGAUUAAUGAUUUUCCCUAAGGCUUUGGGAUAUGUGGAUGAGGCAACCACAGAUCUUUUUCAUCGACUCGGUAAGAGAGUUACUCCCAUUCCUGCAAUUCUAGUGGAGACGUUCAGGUCUUUAGGUGCAUGUAGGAGGGCUGGUGUAGGCAGGUUUGUUGGUUGUGCUCAGUUGCUUUUAGCUUGGUUCUACAGUCAUUUCAGAUUGAUAGAUAAGGUUGUCUGUCGGGUUUUCUUUGAGGAUUACUCGCCCUUGAAGGACAUAGUAGCUUCAACAAAGAGAGUUGAGGUUCUAGAGGAGAAUUGGAUGGCGCUGCUUCAGAAUCUUCAGUCAAAGGAUGUUGAGUGGAGGGCUCCGUGGAUGAUUCUUGGUGAGAUUCUUUACCGAUGCGAUAGUUUCGAUUGGGUCCCUCUGUUGGGAGUUUGGGGAGCUAUUGGUUAUGCCCCUUUACUUGUGUUGAGGAAAUUCGGUUUGAGGUAGUUCGUGCCAGCAACCCAUGGGUUGGCUCGAAGUGAGUUCAUGUAUAGAGGAGCCGACUACAAGAAGAAAGUCAGUGAGAUCUCUAGUGCUUGAAACAAGACUUGUCGGUUGAAGGGAGUAGCUAUUAGCCCUGCUACGACUCCAAAAUAUAUUGAAUGGAGAAGCAGAAGGAUUGACGAUAACAUCUCCAAGCCAAGUGGAGAAGAAGUUCGACCGAUGGAGGAAUAUUUGCAAGUGAUACCCUCGGAGUUGGAAAUUGUGAAACAAGAGUUCGAGAGAAAGAAUUUGGAGCUCGAGAAGAAAAUAGCGAAGCUCAAAGAGGAAAAGAUGUAUUUGAGCCUAGAUGUUGAUGUUCAAAAGAUGGAGAUCGAGAAAGAGAGAAAAGAAAAGAAGAAGAUCGAAGAAGAUCGAGAUGAUUUGAAGGAGCAUUACAAAAAGGCACAAAUAUCCUUGAAGAGAGCAAGAGUAGAAGGGGCUUCAGACCAGCUGCAGAAAGAGAUCCAAGAAGAAAAAGUUAGAGCCCAGUAUUGGGAAAGGAAGUAUCAGGAGAUGCAGUCGCAGAGUUUGGCAUUAGAGGAAGAAAAUAAAGAUUUGAAGUCCAAGGUAGCUGAGCUUGGAAGAUCUCUUCGUUGGCAUCAAAACCAUGAUUCUACGGUCGAGUUACGGGAACUAAAAAAUAAGGUGGAAGAUUUGGAAGUGGCGUUACAUGAUGGUGAAAUUCGGAUCGAGCAGCUCGAGGCACAAGAGGAUUAUCUAAAGGAAGAGCUUUAUCAGUCUAGAGGGCAAGUCAGAGAGAGGGAUUACAUCAUUGGUGAAGCCAUAGCCUAGAUUCGAGAGGUUGCUGAAUAUGUACGAGACUUAGCAAUACGAGCUGAUGUAUUGAGUCUGAUGUAUGAAUCGUCGUCAGGCAUAGGACGAGAGUUAGCCCUUUUGUUAGAUAGAGUUAAAACUUUGGGCAUUAGGGCAAAAGCGUAUUUGUAAUCCUCUUAUAUGUAAAGACAUUCUUUUUCUAAAUAAAGGUUUCUAAACGAAGUUGAACCAGAAUUGAUACUCUUAUUGCAUUCAUGCAUUUGCAUCUCAUAGCAUUACAUCAUAUCAUAUGCAUUCAAGGUUAUAGAAAGACCCUAAUUAGUUAAAGUUUCUUUAUAAAGGUAGAAAAGAAAAUCUGGAAAUUACACAUCCUUACGGCACUCGCACUAAAACUAAAAACAUGGAUCAAAGGUUUGAACAAUUGCAAAAAGAUAUGCAAGACCAGUUGCAAGAGAAGUUGGCCAAAAUGCAGAAUGAGAUGAAGGAGCAAAUGUUGGAAGCUCAGAGGAACAUGAUGGCCGAAAUGGCUCAGCUAUUGAGGGCCACUGAUAAGGGAAAGGCUCCUAUGGCCAUUGUUGAAGAGGAAAAUGAGGGUCCUCCUCCAGGUUUUACUCUACCUCAUGUGCCAUUGCAAACUGAGGCACUUCCUAGAAGACCAUCUGUCACUGUGAGGCCUCAACAUGGGCCAAUUGAUACUGGUAUCCAUAUGAAUUUCCCGGCUGGUUCAGAAUUUAAUUUGGGUGACAAUCCUACUAAUCCUCUCGUUCCUGACCUAGAUAUGGUGAAAAAGGAGGAUUUGAAAGCAGAAGCUGCAAGGCAAUUAGAUGAACGCUGCAGAUGGCUAGAAGAAAAGUUCAAGACUUUAGUAGGCACUAGCAAUCAUUAUGGGAUUGACGCCAAAGAUUUAAGUCUAGUCCCAAACCUAGUGCUGCCUCAUAAAUUCAAAAUGCCAAAAUUUGAAAAGUACAAUGGUACUACUUGCCCAGAGGCCCACAUCACAAUGUUCUGCAGAAGGAUGACGGGGUAUGUAAACAAUGAUCAGUUGUUGGUCCAUUGUUUUCAAGAUAGUUUAGUGGGAGCAGCAGCCAGGUGGUACAAUCAGCUGAGCCGGGCUAGAAUAAAUUCGUGGAGGGAUCUUGCACAAGCCUUCAUGCAAUAGUACAACCAUGUGACUGAUAUGACGCCGGACAGGACCACACUUCAGAAUAUGGAGAAAAAGCCUAAUGAAAGUUUUAGGCAAUAUGCACAACGAUGGAGGGAGAUGGCAAUGCAAGUACAACCACCCUUGUUAGAAAAGGAAACCACCAUGUUAUUUAUCAACACUUUGAAAGCGCCGUUCAUCACUCACAUGAUUGGAAGCACCACGAAAAGUUUUGCGGAUAUAGUUAUGGUAGGGGAGAUGAUUGAGAACGCCAUAAGGGGCGGUAAAAUUGAUGGGGAAGUGGCCAAAAGAUCGGCCCCAAGAAGAAAAGACAAUGAGGUGAACAACACAAGCAGUUUCAAUUCGAAAGUAGUCACGGUUAGUCAGCCCAAAGUAGCCCCAGUUGGGCAACAGGGCUCUCAAAAGUAGGAAUCUAGCACUAGGCUUGAGAGGAUGUAAUUUACACCUAUACCUGUGACGUAUCGGGAGCUUUAUCAAAACUUAUAUGAUGCGCAUGCUAUAGUCCCUUUCCACUUGAAACCAUUACAGCCUCCAUAUCCUAAAUGAUAUGAUGCAAAUGCCAGGUGUGAGUAUCAUGCUGGAAUAUCAGGGCACUCAAUUGAGAAUUGUACUGGAUUCAAGAAAGCCGUAGAGAGGUUGAUCUAGAAUGGGGUUUUAAAAUUUGAGAGUACUUUAAAUACUGAGAACCCUUUGCCGAACCAUGACAAUCAAGGAGUGAAUGCCAUUGUUGAAGCCGGUGGAAAAAAGGGGAAGGAAAAUGUUGCUGAAGUAAGGAUGCCUUUAAAAGUAAUCUGGAAAGAGAUGGUAAAGAAAGGGAUAAUAACCUCUGAGAAAGAAGGAAACGAAACAAAGAACUACUGCGAGUUCCAUGGGAAGGAGGGUCAUGAGACCCAAAAUUGUGAAGAAUUUAAAGCCCUGGUGCAAGGUCUCAUUGACAAUAAAGAGCUACAGAUUUUUGAAGAUAGCUCUUAUAAACGAGAAAUAAAUGCAUUAGAAAGAGAACAACAAGGAACCAAUCGGCCAAGAAUUAUUAUUUCCUUGCCAGGGAAUAAUGAAGUGGGGGCGCAAAACAGACCCAAAGUGGUCAUCCAUAAGCCCACGCCUUUCCCCUACAAAGAUGACAAUAGGGUACCAUGGAGUUACGACUGCAGUGUAACAGUACCCAAAGAAGAGAGUAUAACCAGUGCAUCUAAGGAUUUGCAGAAUGAAAGUUCCUUUACAAGAAGUGAGAAACGUUAUGAUGAGGGGGAUAUCAGAGUGGAGCCCACAAAAACAAAAGAAAUUGAUGUUGAGAAAAGGAAAAAGACUGAAAUACCCAUCAAUGAACUGGUAAGAGAGGAAGAGGCUAAGGAAUUUUUGAAGUUCCUUAAGCAUAGUGAAUAUAAUGUGGUCGAGCAGUUGCGUAAGCAACCAGCGCGCAUAUCAGUAUUAGCCUUGCUUCUAAGUUCUGAGGUGCAUCGGGAGGAAUUGUUCAAGGUACUUAACGAGACAUAUGUCACCCACGACAUAUCUGUCAAUAAGUUGGACCGGUUGGUAAACAACAUCAGUGUUGACAAUUUCAUUUAUUUUAAUGAUGAUGAAAUUCCACCUGGGGGCAUAGGGUCAACCAAAGCCCUAUACAUUACUACUCGGUGCAAAGGAUACACACUUCCAAGUGUACUCAUAGAUAAUGGGUCUGCUUUGAACGUCCUGCCACUAUCCACCUUGAACAGAUUGCCCAUUGACAGUUCGCAUAUGAAAACGUGUCAUAAUGUGGUAAGAGCCUUUGAUAGAACCGAAAGAAAAGUAAUAGGACGAAUUGACAUCCCUCUGGAGAUUGACCGAAUACGUAUGAAGUUGAUUUCCUAGUGAUGGAUAUCAAGCCCUCCUACAAUUGUUUAUUGGAGAGACCAUGAAUACACUCGGCAGGAGCGGUGCCCUCUUCAUUGCACCAAAAAUUGAAGUUAGUGACAAAUGGUCGCUUAAUAACCAUCAAUGUGGAAGAGGACAUCAUAGCAGCGGUUACCAGUAAGGCCCCUUAUGUUGAGGCAAAUGAAGAGGCCAUUGAAUGUUCUUUCCGCUCUUUAGAAGUUAUUAAUGCCACCUUCAUUUUGGAAGGAAGCGAAAUGCCGGUACCCAAAAUGUUUGGAGCCACGAGGAUGGCCCUACAAAUGAUGAUGGGGAAAGGAGCAUUGCCGGGAAAAGGGCUAGGAAGAUAGUUGCAAGGAGGGGUUCAAAUCCUAAAACUGAUUGAGAAAAAUGACCGUUUUGUCUUGGGCUUCAAGCCAGACCACAAGCACAAAAGGCAGGAAAUAGAGAAGCGCCAAGCGAGAAGAAAUGCGCAUUUGAAUGGAAGAGAAGUCGAGUGGGAAUCGAUGACAUUCCCACCUAUAUCCAAAUCCUUUAAAUCAGGAGGACUGCUGAUAAAAGAAAGUCAACAAGUUAAUGCUAUACACAAUGAGGGAUCGGAGCAAGGAAACCUUGAGGGCAUUCGCCCUUACGAACCGAGGAGCUCUCUGAAUAAUUGGACUGCGGAGGACCUUCCUGUAGUCUUUAGAAAUUUUUCAGAGUAAUUCUCGAAACAUGUCUAUUACUCUAGGACUAGGAGUAGUAAGAUUACAUUUGUGAAAAUAGGCCUAUGUUCAUCUAUAAUUAUUUAAAUAAAACAUAACUUUUAUCAAUUUGAACGAGUAUUGUUUCAUUUUUAUCGACCAAUAUUCCUUUAAAUUUUGGUAAUCCCUAUUCUUUUAUUCAUAGUACAUAAACAGUCAUUCUUAGAUUCAUUCAUUCUUUGUAUAUUCUUUCAUACUCCCACAGGUCCCUAGAUAUCAAUGAUAUGAGUACUGAUACUACAGCUCCUAAUUUCUCUUACGAGCAAGACAUGUGUUUAGAGGAACCUCAGGAUUUUGAAGAUGUUCAAGAUUGUGACGUAUCUCUUGAUCUGUUAAGGAUGGUAAAGCAGGAGGAGAAACAAAUCAUGCCCCAUGAGAAAGAGGCAAUAGAGAAUAUAGCCCUAGAGGAAGGGAAUGAGCUGAAAAUCGGAACCCUAAUUGGCGAGAACACAAGACAUGGUUUGGUUGAGUUGCUUCGAGAGUUCAAGGAUAUCUUCGCCUGGUCAUAUCAGGAUAUGCCUGGAUUGAGUACUGACAUUGUAGUACAUCGUCUUCCGAUAAGACAAGAUUGCAAACCAGUCCAACAGAAGUUGAGGAGAAUGCGUCCAGAUAUUAUUCUGAAAAUAAAAGAUGAAGUUAAGAAGCAGUUUGACGCAGGAUUCUUGCAAGAAGUGAAGUACUCCGAAUGGGUAGCUAACAUUGUGCCCGUUCCUAAGAAUGAUGGAAAGGUACGAAUGUGUGUUGAUUACAGAGAUCUGAACAAAGCAAGCCCGAAGGAUAAUUUUCCUUUGCCACACAUUGACACUUUAGUAGACAACACAGCAGGGUAUUCGUUGUUCUCUUUCAUGGAUGGUUUCUCAGGAUAUAAUCAGAUAAAGAUGCAUUCAGAAGACAUGGAUAAGACUACCUUCAUAACCUUAUGGGGCACCUUUUGCUAAAAAGUAAUGCCAUUUGGAUUGAAGAACGCAGGGGCAACAUACCAAUGAGCUAUGGUAAAUUUAUUCCACGACAUGAUACAUAAAGAUAUUGAGGUAUACGUUGAUGAUAUGAUCGCCAAGUCGUAAACAAAAAAAGAACACGUCGAGGUCUUAAGAAGAUUGUUCUUAAGGUUGAGAAAAUUUCAGUUGAAGCUCAAUCCAGCGAAAUACACCUUUGGGGCCAGAUCGGGAAAGUUAUUAGGCUUCGUAGUCAGUGAAAAGGGAAUUGAAGUUGACUCAGACAAGGUCAGAGCCAUACGAGAGUUGCCUCUGCCACGUACUCAGAAGGAAGUUCGAGGAUUCCUAGGAAGGUUGAACUACAUCGCUCGGUUCAUUUCACAAUUGACUGUAUUUAUCAGUGUUCAGUAAUUCUAUGGGAUGUGUGCUUGGUCAACAUGACAAGAUGGGGAAAAGGGAGAAGGCAAUUUAUUAUCUCAGUAAAAAAUUCACUGACUGUGAAAUGAGAUAUUCACCAAUUGAAAAGUUGUGUUGUGCGCUAAUCUGGACCUCCCGAAGAUUAAGACAGUACAUGUUAUACCAUACCACUUGGCUCAUCUCAAAAUUGGAUCCAUUGAAAUACAUGAUGGAGUCAACGGCUUUAAAUGGAAGAAUGGCGAGAUGGCAAAUUUUACUUUCAGAGUUUGAUAUAGUCUAUGUAAGUCAGAAAGCUAUAAAAGGAAGUGUGGUAGCUGAUUUCUUGGCUAGUCGAGCUCUAGAGGAUUAUGAGCCAUUGAACUUUAAUUUUCCAAAUGAGGAAUUAAUAUGUAUAGCAAUGACUGAAAAUUAUCCAUGGAGGCUUAAUUUUGAUGGGGCUUCUAAUGCAGUUGGGAAUGGAAUUGGGGCAGUCUUGGUAUCCCCUAAUGGCGAUCAUUACCCAUUCACGUGCAAGUUAGACUUUGAUUGCGCAAAUAAUAUGGCUGAGUAUGAAGCAUGCAUCAUGGGACUCCUAGCAGCCAUAGAAAGAGGCAUAAAAACCCUAGAAGUAUAUGGAGAUUCUGCGUUGGUAAUCUAUCAGCUAAGAGGUGAAUGGGAGACAAGGGACCCUAAAUUGAUCAAUUAUCGAAAGAUAGUUUUGGGGUUACUUGAGGAGUUUGAUGAUAUCACCUUUAAUUAUCUCCCACGAGAUGAAAAUCAGAUGGCAGAUGCUCUAGCAACCUUGGCCUCAAUGAUUAAGGUAAAUAAAGAGGAAAAGAUGAGACCAAUUCAAAUGAGUGUUUAUGAAGCUCUAGCUAGCUGUUGUAACCUUGAAGAGGAGGAAAAGGAUGAUAAUCCUUAGUAUCAUGAUAUAUUGCGAUAUGUAAGAGAUCGUAAAUAUCUAGAAAAGGCAACCGAAAAUGACAAACGAACUUUGAGAAGGUUAGCUUGCGACUAUGUCUUGGACAGGGAUGUCCUGUACAAGAGAAGGAAAGACCAAGUACUUUUGAGAUGUGUCGAUGCUGUGGAAGCCAAGCUAAUUCUAGAGGAGGUUCAUGAAGGUGUAUGUGGUACCCAUGCAAACGGGUUCACGAUGGCAAGGAAAAUCAUGAGGUUUGGCUAUUACUGGGCCACUAUGGAAGGAGACUGCAUCAACUAUGCCAAAAAAUGCCAUAAGUGUCAGAUUUAUGGGGACAAAAUUCAUGUAUCGCCUUCACCUUUACAUGUCAUGACUUCUCCAUGGCCUUUCUCCAUGUGGGGCAUGGAUGUUAUCGGACCUAUAUCACCGAAAGCUUCGAAUGGACAUCAGUUUAUCUUCGUGGUAAUUGACUACUUUACAAAGUGAGUAGAGGCCGCCUCUUAUGCGAAUGUGACCAAAUCAGCUGUGAGUCAAUUUUUGAAGAAGGAAAUCAUUUUUCGGUAUGGAAUGCCUGAGAAGAUCAUAUCUGACAAUGCAUUGAACUUGAACAACAAAACGAUAGCGGAGGUUUGCGACCAAUUCAAGAUCAAGCAUCACAAUUCUUCCCCCUACCGUCCAAAAAUGAAUGGGGCAGUGGAGGCCGCUAAUAAGAACAUUAAGAAAGUAGUGGGAAAGAUGACUGAGACUUAUUGAGACUGGCAUGAGAAAUUACCGUUUGCACUCCUCGCUUAUCAGACAUCUGUCAGAACUUCUACUGGGGUAACUCCGUUCUCGCUAGUUUAUGGGAUGGAAGUAGUGUUACCUAUUGAAGUAGAAAUACCUUCUCUUCGAAUUUUGAUGGAGGAAAAGUUAGAUGAAGCUGAGUGGAUUCAAUCCCGAUAUGAUCAAUUAAACUUAAUUGAAGAAAAGAGGCUAAAAGCCAUUCGACAUGGUCAGAUGUAUCAGAAGCGAAUGAUGCGAGCUUAUGACAAGAAAGUUUGACCAAGAGAAUUCCAUGAGAGAGACCUUGUACUGAAAAAGAUCCUUCCUAUUCAAAAAGAUUUUAGAGGAAAAUGGAUGUCGAAUUGGGAAGGGCCGUAUGUCGUGAAGAAAGCUUUCUCUAGUGGUGCAUUGAUCUAAGCGGAAAUGGAUGGGAAAAGUUUACCCAAUCCAGUGAACUCGGACUCAGUUAAAAAAAUACUUUGUCUAAAGAAGAAGAGAAUCUAAGGUGAAAACCCGCAAAGGGCACCCUGUGACCAAAGGGAUUUUGAGUUGAAAACCCGAAAGGGCAGCUCAAAUAUGGAAGGGCAUACGGUAAUCUUGCUAUUAUUUGAUACAACAAAGAGCGAAGAACGCUGCACACUGGGGCAUCAACAGAGUACUUGGGAUCUUUUUAACACAUGUUGAAUUCAAGAAAGACUUCAUAGAGCUGGUGUAUAGGCACUCAAGCGGCAAUAUCUAGAGGAUAUAACUUCUGUCUUGCUUGCUAUAUUUAGAUUUUGUUUCUUCUAGAAGAUAGGCUAGCAGAUUAAUUCCCUUUUGUAUUUUUUUUUCAAAUCUAAUUAUUCUUAAAAAUUUAUUCGUCUUUCACUAUUCUUUAAGUAUGUUGCAUUGAAAUAAUGAUAGAUGAACUAGAAUAUUUUCACGAACAAAGUUUUGCUAAUUACUUUGGAAUUUCUAGAUAAUGCAAGAAACUAAAACAGGACAAUUGUUCGAGAAAUUCACGUAAGUAAGGGAUGAAGAAACUUGAGGAAUUUCUUUCUUCCAGUCCAAAAGGAAAAUGGACAAAACCAAUGAUUCAAUUCUUACAGACAUCCUCAGUAGAUUGUAGUAUUGGAGGAAGACCUACAGGCUGAGCAAGAAUGAAGGAAUGAAUGGUGGCACCUAGGAUAGGGGUCAUAUUCACAGCAUUCUGCAUCAUAACACGUUUAAUUAGGAACAUUCAACUCACUUCGUGCAUAGCAUCCUAAUUAUCAGGCAUAAUGAUUCCACAGGUUAUCGAAGACGACGUGCUUUAAUCCCCUAAACAGCAGGGUAAUAAGCCAUAGCAUAGCAGAUUUGACUCUCAGACGUUCUCAGAUAUAGCAGAUCUAACCUUCAGAUGUUUAUACUGAAACAGAUCCAAGGUGAUUUGGUAUUCUUGUGUUUACAAGGAACAAAUCGAGGACAUAGCAGAUUUGACUCUCAGACGUUCUCAGAUAUAGCAGAUUUAACCUUCAGAUGUUUAUACUGAAGCAAAUCCAAGAUGAUUUGGUAUUCUUGUGUUUACAAGAAACAAAUCGAGGACAUAGCAAAUUUGACUCUCAGAUGUUCUCAGAUAUAACAGAUCUAACCUUCAGAUGUUUAGACUGAAGCAGAUCCAAGAUGAUUUGGUAUUCUUGUGUUACAAGGAACACAUCGAGGACAUAGCAGAUUUGACUCUCAGAUGUUCUCAAAUAUAGCAGAUCUAACCUUCAGAUGUUUAUACUGAAGCAAGAUCCAAGAUGAUUUGGCAUUCUUGUGUUUACAAGAAACAAAUCGAGGACAUAGCAGAUUUGACUUUCAAAUGUUCUAAAACAGACUCAAGAUGGUUUGGCAUCAUUGUGCUUACAAGGAACAAAUCGAAGACAUAGUUAAUUUGGCUUUCACGUGUUUACGAUAAAGUAAAUCUAAGAUGAUUUGUCGUCUCUGUGUUGUCAGAGAACAAAUCGAAGCCAGGCAUCUCCACUUCAACGGGGAGCAGAUACAUAGUAGGUCAUACCUUUAGAUAAUUUCACUGAAGCUAGAUCCAAGAUGAUUUGGCAUCUCUACAAAUUGAAGAAGUGGAUUUUGCAUCUCUAUAUUCGGCGGGGAGCAGAUCGAAAAUUCAAGGUUUGGCGAGCCCGGGCAAAAUUGAUUCUUUUAUAUCUUUGCUCUAUUCCUGUUAUACAACCAUGAGCAAAGAGGGGUAGGUGUAAUACCUCAAUUUUGCCCGGCCCAUGGGAAACCAAAGCAUAAUCCAAAAUUUCAAAAUAAUAAUACAAGUCUCUUAACAGUCCUUUUACAAAUGUUAAAACCCAAUAACCCACCUAAAACUUACCCAAUACAAAAGCCCAUACCCGGUUACAACCCAAUAGCCAGAUCAGUACCUAGACUAGCCAAAUUUAAACCAAGCCCAAACAAUUGCAACCCAAACCCUAUUACACCCGUGACCCAAAGAACCUAAAUCGGCCCAAACAAAUCAGACCCAAUAAGCUGCACCCCAAAAGCCCGAACGCUUAACCCUAGGUCAGGAACCCUAGGGUUUCUGCAUCUUUCAGCGCCGUAAGUUGUGCAGGGCCGUUCCAACUCCCGAAGCAAGAGCCAUCAAUGCCCCUGUCCCCCACGUCACCUCAGCUGGCCCUAAUCAAUGAGUUGUCCAGAAACGUCGAGGUACUCCGAGAGUCACCACUGUCGGUGCACCGUAAUCUCAGGCCUCAUACCUCCGUUAACGCCGAGAUCGUCGGGAUACCUGCAAAAUGAAAAAAGAAAUACAGCAGAUGCGAACAAAUAGAGCAAGAAAGAGGAAACUGAAACAAAAAAAUCUCAGUAUAUCAAGGACAAAGAUACGGUGGAUGCAGUAGACAAAAAAUGGAAAGAAAAUCAGAGAUUUCUUUCCCAGCUUAUGUAAUUAAUCAGUGGCUAUAAAAAGCCCCUUUCUAACCUUUAUAACAUUUUUACAGAGAGACAGAAAUAAAAAAAGAGAUAUACAAAAAAAAAUUAGUAAACAAACAGACGAACAGAGGUGAUAUUUCAUUUUCUUUCCUUUCGAUAUUUAUGGUUUUUUGGUACAAUACAUAACAAAAUACUUUAAAAAGAAGCAGCAAAAGGUUACCCUUCGAUUCAUCGCGAAGAGAUAGGGUUUUGAAAGCCCUAACCGCCGGGUUUCAAGACCCAGACGGUGGCGCGUGAGGCGUGUUAGGCCGAAGGCGGUGGUGCUCCGGGACGAGCUAGGAUGGCCACAGGCCAGAGCUAUGAGGGAAUUUAGUUUCCUUUCUUUGUUUUUUUUAUGAGUGUUUAAAAUGA